UUGCCUCGGCGGAGCCUACCCUGUAGCUACCCUGUAGGGUGGUUACCCUGUAGCGCCCCGCCGGUGGAUUUUCAAACUCUUGUUAUUUAUAGUAAUCUGAGAGUCUUAUUUUAAAAGUCAAAACUUUCAACAACGGAUCUCUUGGUUCUGGCAUCGAUGAAGAACGCAGCGAAAUGCGAUAAGUAAUGUGAAUUGCAGAAUUCAGUGAAUCAUCGAAUCUUUGAACGCACAUUGCGCCCAUUAGUAUUCUAGUGGGCAUGCCUGUUCGAGCGUCAUUUCAACCCUUAAGCCUAGCUUAGUGUUGGGAGUCUACGAGUGGGCCAGGCUACCCUGUAGCGUGGUUACCCUGUAGUUCCUGAAAAUCAACGGCGGAUUUACAGUAUCCUCUGAGCGUAGUAAUUUUUUAUCUCGCUUCUGUUUAGGUGCUGUGACUNUCGGCCGCUAAACCCCCAAUUUUUUNGUGGUUGACCUCGGAUCAGGUAGGAAUACCCGCUGAACUUAAGCAUAUCA
rnacentral:rRNA from 1 species